rnacentral:hammerhead_ribozyme from 1 species
AUCCAACUGAUGAAUCCCAAAUAGGACGAAAUGCGUGUUCUGAAU